CCUACGGGUGGCAGCAGUGGGGAAUAUUGCACAAUGGGGGAAACCCUGAUGCAGCGACGCCGCGUGAGUGAAGAAGUAUUUCGGUAUGUAAAGCUCUAUCAGCCGGGAAGAAAAUGACGGUACCUGAGUAAGAAGCCCCGGCUAACUACGUGCCAGCAGCCGCGGUAAUACGUAGGGGGCAAGCGUUAUCCGGAUUUACUGGGUGUAAAGGGAGCGUAGACGGCACCGGAAGUCUGAAGUGAAAUGCCGGGGGUUAACCCCGGAACUGCUUUGGAAACUGUGCAGCUAGAGUGACGGAGAGGUAAGUGGAAUUCCUAGUGUAGCGGUGAAAUGCGUAGAUAUUAGGAGGAACACCAGUGGCGAAGGCGGCUUACUGGACUGUAACUGACGUUGAGGCUCGAAAGCGUGGGGAGCAAACAGGAUUAGAUACCCUAGUAGUC
rnacentral:rRNA from 1 species